rnacentral:rRNA from 1 species
UACGUAGGGGGCAAGCGUUGUCCGGAAUCAUUGGGCGUAAAGAGCGCGUAGGCGGCCCUGUAAGUCCGCUGUGAAAGUCAAGGGCUCAACCCUUGAAUGCCGGUGGAUACUGCAGGGCUAGAGUCCGGAAGAGGCGAGUGGAAUUCCUGGUGUAGCGGUGAAAUGCGCAGAUAUCAGGAGGAACAGCCGAUGGCGAAGGCAGCUCGCUGGGACGGUACUGACGCUGAGGCGCGAAAGCGUGGGGAGCAAACAGG